rnacentral:tRNA from 1 species
GGGGGCGUAGCUCAGAUGGUAGAGCACUCGCUUAGUAUGCGAGAAGUACCGGAGUCGAUACCCGGCGCCUCCA